rnacentral:lncRNA from 7 species
UUCCAGCGAACUCGCUUCACAGGUAAAGAUGUGCAGGAGCAAUCAUCCUUUCUUUCUUUACAAGAUGAUGAAAGCUGAGACCAAAAGACAGUCAAGCUAUACUAGUCAGUUCAUCUUAAUUAGACAGCAAAAGGAGCAGACCAGGGCCGAAGCCAGCCAAAUCUUCGAUCUGGUCUCGACCUCACAAUUCGCUCGCUAAAAGAAGCGCCGCCCUCUAUAUGUUAAACUAAGCAACCGUUGCCCUAGGCUAGGCCGCAGCAGCAGCCAGGACCG